rnacentral:lncRNA from 1 species
AUGGGCCAGCAGGCACAGCUGGACACUGCUGCUCUACUCCUGACCAGUGCUUUCUCAUAUGCUAGUCAUUGGCUGAACGUGACCGCUGAGCAGUCGAAAGUAGACUAGUCUGAAUUGAAAUGUGCUUUCUUUAUUACAGUGGGAAGUCCCAUGGACCGAGCUCAAUUGUCCUAUGAAGCGGAACUUUCGUCCUAAAAAUCAGAAGUAGCUGGUGUUGGACUCAACAUGAUCCCAAACUCACCUAAUAGCUGCCUCUGAGAAUGCAAUUUUCAGUCAGGAGCACAAGAGAAGUGCUCAUUAAAAGUGCUCAUGAAACUGCAUUAAAAGUUCCAUGUUUGGCCAAAACCCCAGAAAAAAAAAAAAUCAGUCGGUAUUUUCAAGGUCCCACCUGGCUUGGUUCAUCAUCCACAAUGAAACGAUUGAAAAAAAUGCAUGUGCCUGACCCAGGUUCUUACUCAUAAUGUUUCUGUCUGAGAUGUGAAGUUGCUGUCACCUGCUUGUAGACAGAAUAUUUAAAAAUGAGAGUUCAUGGUUUUAGUUGAGACUG